AUACGUAGGUGGCAAGCGUUGUCCGGAUUUAUUGGGCGUAAAGCGAGCGCAGGCGGUUUCUUAAGUCUGAUGUGAAAGCCCCCGGCUCAACCGGGGAGGGUCAUUGGAAACUGGGAGACUUGAGUGCAGAAGAGGAGAGUGGAAUUCCAUGUGUAGCGGUGAAAUGCGUAGAUAUAUGGAGGAACACCAGUGGCGAAGGCGGCUCUCUGGUCUGUAACUGACGCUGAGGAGCGAAAGCAUGGGUAGCGAACAGGAUUAGAUACCCUGGUAGUCCACGCAGUAAACGAUGAUGGCUAACCGCUGGUUUUUUCGGAUCAGUGGCCAAGCGAAAGCGAUAAGCCAUCCACCUGGGGAGUACGACCGCAAGGUUGAAACUCAAAGGAAUUGGCGGGG
rnacentral:rRNA from 1 species